rfam:Callithrix jacchus chromosome 13, whole genome shotgun sequence
GAGCUAGAGAAGGCCCAGAUCAUGUAGAACGUAAUGCUUUUUCACCGACCUGGUGAGGCAGGGAGACAAGCCCCAGGGGGCUCUUGUUUCUGGAGCCAAGCGCCCCAGCUGCACAUUGGCCAGGCGCGGCCCACUCCAGGCACAGUGCCAGAUGAGGAGUUUGACUGGGGCGGUACACCUGUCAAACGGUAAUGCAGGUGUCCUAAGGUGAGCUCAGGAAGGACAGAAAGCUCCUGUGGAGCAGAAGGGCAAAAGCUCACUUUAUCUUGAUUUUCAGUAUGAAUACAGACUGUGAAAGCAGGGUCUCGUGAUCCUUCUGACCUUUUGGGUUUUAAGCAGGAGGUGUCAGAAAAGUUAUC